rnacentral:rRNA from 1 species
GAUGAACGCUGGCGGCGUGCCUAAUACAUGCAAGUCGAGCGAAGCGGGGACGGGUGAGCAACACGUGGAUAACUUCCCAUAUGACUGGUAUAACUUCGGGAAACCGGAGCUAAUCCGGAAUCUUAUAGCUGGUUCAGCGGUGCAUUAUCUAGUUGGUAGGGUAACGGCUUACCAAGGCAACGAUGCAUAGCCGACCUGAGAGGGUGAUCGGCAACACUGGACCUGGGACACGGUCCAGACUCCUACGGGAGGAAGCAGUAGGGAAUCUUCCGAAAUGGGCGAAAGCCUGACGGAGCAACGCCGCGUGAGUGAUGAAGGUCUUCGGAUCGUAAACCUCUGUUAGUAGGGAGGCGGUACCUAAUCAGAAAGCCACGGCUAACUACGUGCCAGCAGCCGCGGUAAUUC